AGCAAAGAACGCGCUCUCCCGAAAGUGUAGGCACUGCUUAGACGGCCAGAAAAACGUGUGCAGGGACGUCGAGGACCCGGGCUCUCGUGCGAGCGCGGAGUUGGACGCACAGUGCCGCGGGAGUCACGCGUGGCUCUCCCGCCUCCCCUCCGCGUGAGCUCUGGGAUGGUCCGCGCCGGGAGCGCGCGGGAGGCUUGAAGCGCCGGUGAAAUGCGCGGGUCAGAGUGAUAGCGGCGCAGCCGGCGCUGCUCUGGUCAGCAACGCGCCAUGGACGCAGAGCUGGCCGAGGUGCGCGCUUUGCAAGCUGAGAUCGCGGCCCUGCGGCGAGCGUGUGAGGACCCGCCAGCGCCCUGGGAAGAGACGUCCCGAGUCCAGUAUAAGAAAAGUUCUACAGAGACACCGAUUAUCAGGAAAUUGCCACAUGGUUACAUUUCAACUUGAAUUUCAGAUUCUGGAAAUUCAGAAUAAGGAGAGAUUAUCUUCUGCUGUUACUGACCUCAACAUAAUAAUGGAGCCCACAGAAUGUUCAGAAUUAAGUGAAUUUGUGUCUAGAGCAGAAGAGAGAAAAGAUCUGUUCAUGUUUUUCCGAAGCCUGCAUUUUUUUGUGGAGUGGUUUGAAUAUCGUAAGCGCACAUUUAAACAUUUCAAGGAAAAGUACCCAGAUGCCGUGCACCUCUCAGAGGGGCCCUCCUCCCCCUCCAUAGUGAUCCGCAGUGCCAGCCAGCCAGGGUUUGAAUUAGUAAUUGUUUGGAGGAUACAAAUAGAUGAAGAUGGGAAAGUUUUUCCAAAGCUGGAUCUUCUCACCAAAGUCCCACAGCGAGCCCUGGAGCUGGACAAGAACAGAACCAUAGAAACCGCUCCUCUCAGCUUCCGAACCCUGCUAGGAGUGCUUGGAAUCGAAGCUGCUCUGGAAAGCCUGAUAAAAUCGCUUCGUGCAGAGCAGAACGGCUAGUUCCGAAACAGUGAACGGGGAGGGUUAAGAUGCUGAGCAGAGGUGCGUGCGACUUUACCCAAUAUAAACAUUUGCUAUUUUCCACUUGGAAACCACACCCUGAAGACCUGUCUUCUGCGCAGUUAAGGCACAUUCUAUAGAAAUUCUCAUGACAUGAAAAAUAAAUAGUUACUUAAGUAUAAAAUGCCAAAUAAAAGUGACAUGUACAGUGUGUUUUAUAAAAAUAAGCUUAACAUCUGAGAAAACAUACCGAGUGGUUGUGUGUCCUCAGACGUGUGGGGAGGACCCAGUCCCCCACCCACCUCAGCCUCACACCGAGUCUACCAUGACGUGGCAGCCACACUGCUCAGCUGGGAGAAGCCAACCUUAUCCUGGUUCCUGCGUCCUGGGGGCUCUGGAGACAGAUGCCUAUGGCACUUCAUUUUUAAACUUUCGUUAGUGGCCCAGGGGAGCCACGCCCACACUCCUUGCCACCUCCACUGUGAAGCAGUCCCAGCAAGUCCUGACGUUCUUCUUGGUCUUCCACAAGAAAAUGGAGCUGUCAGCUUCAAAACAAGAAUGUCCUAAGACAGCAAAGACAGCACUGUUCCUGGGCCAGGGUGCAAGGAAUAAGGUCCUUUAUGACAGAACCUGUGCAGAGCCGAAGUGCUACAUCGACAGUCCCAGAUGUGCCGUCAGAACCGUGAUCUCAUCAGUCACCCGUUAGCACCGUUAGGAUCUGUGAACUAGGGUUGUCUCAAACCAAUCAAGGCCAUCAUGGAGCCAAAACUAAGCAGCAGCAGCGGCUUCUGAGAGGGGCCAGAAAUAAUACGUCCACAGCGGUGGCGCCUGCAGCUCAGGGGAUCCUCACAGCCCGGGCUCGUGGCAGCCAACACAGAAUGGGGGUCUUCAUCUGUUUUCUCUUCUUCAAUACAGGGUAUUUUCAUCGUGUCUAGUCCAGCCCUGUCUGGGCCCUGUGCUAGGCAGUAACUUUUGCGGCCCUGACGGACGCAGAGAGCCCAGCCUGCCUUCCCAUUGGGGUAGGGUUCCCUCACAUGUGCACUUAAACCCAAGACCCAGUGUCCUUCACACACUGUGACAGUGGGCAGAAUCAUCCCGAACAAGGCUUCCCCAGCCCCAGCCCAGCAACAGUGAACUCCCUUGGGUCAAGACAGUAUUCACGGCCACUUCCCUCCAUACUUCCCAGAGCCUGCCGGUCGUCGCCAUGAGCUCUGUCCACUUCGCUUAUGUGCAGUCUCCAAAGCCCCCAUGCCAGCACACAGGACACUUGUGUAUGAGACAAUGUCAUUCGAAGUGAGAAGAAAACAGUAAAGGUGUCCAGUUGUCUAAGUAUCUUUUCGCACCUCUGAGUAUAGAAUAAAAUUAGAAGUAAAUAUUAGGACAGAAUUGAACAAUAAAUUCUAGAAGAGUUGCCUUGAUUCAAACAAGUAUAAUUCUCAGGUUAUCACAAAAUUUCCCACAAAAAUUUACAAUCAGCAAAAUAGUUUCCUUAUUUCUCAUGUAUCAUUUUCAUAUAAUUCCAUGGUUUCACUAAUAUUAUAUGUUACAAUAAGCCUCCAUUAGUCCCUCAAAACGAUGAUAUAAAUAAUCAGUCUGUACAACCUAGCAUACAAUAAAAAACUGAAACCAAGAUUCCCAACGUUUUUCAUAGCAGCUGGGCACACUUUGGUGACCCCAACAAGAACCCUCUCGGCAGCAGCCAGGAGCUGUUCGCCUUCCAGAAGCAUGGCCUGUGGCAGCCGGACAGGGAGAGGCCACGGGGCCCAACAACGCAACACGUCUCAAGGCAAACCCGAGGGAGGAACUCAGUCCGGGAGGAAGAGAAAACUCACUCCUCAAUCACCCCAAACACCGGAGUGUCAGAAAAGCACUGAGCUGUUGGGGCACACUGCCCAGCCCGGCCACAGCAGCUCAGCCAGCCACAGCUCCACCUCCAGCUUCUACAGCAGCAAUUUCCAGUGGGAAAGAACACAUCUCCCCCUCAUGUGAAAAAUAAAAUAAUAAAG